GCAGGAUAGCCUUGAGCGGAAUAGGGCUGAAAUGAAGGCCGAAUUUUGUUGGUCAGAAGAGAGACUGAAUUCAGUGUCGAGUUCUUGUCAAUGUGCAGAGAAGCUCAGAAUAUACCAUGCUCAUUCUGGCAUCAAGAGAGAGCCGGUAUUCAAUCUUUCAGCCAUCUCUUUGAGAAUUAAGUUCUGAUGUUGAUGGAUGUUGUACAGUUGCUUUCAUUUUUAUUUAUUGGAAUUUCAGAGAUUCCUCAUUUUGGUAAGAUUCUCCUUUUUACAGCAUCUAGGGGAUUCUAUUCAGAUUGGGGAUGAUGAAGAUCCUUCUGAAUUUCUGGAACAAAAAUAUUAUAAACAAGAUAGAUCAUUGGGUGAGGUGUCUAUACUGGAUGGCGCUUCUAGAAGCUCCCAAAACAAG
rnacentral:misc_RNA from 1 species